GUCUACAGGCUCCUGUACCUUCUCCCUAACGGAAGGCAUGAGAAGAGGGCCUGUCCUCGAUGGCGAGCAUCCUUAAUGAGGAUGGCAUCUUCCUGAGGCGCCGCCUCUUGAGGAUGUCCUCAAUGAUGGUGAGGGUUAUGCCCGUGAUGGAGCUAGCUGAGCCUACAGUCUGCUACAGUCUCUUUCGACCCUGAACUGAUGUACUGUUCCUUGGAGCUGUUACGUUAAUGCACCCCUUGGCAACAUUCAUUCUCCUAAAUUAGAUGGGUGGAGUAGACAUCAUAUCUAGAGGUGGAUCGGAUGGGGUUAUGUCGAAGACCCUGACUGCGAAGUACACUCAAACUUUGGUUCUUUAUGGUGAGGGGACCCACUCCCGGGGCUCACUGGUCAGCCGUUUCUCGAUAUCCCAAGGACAAGCAUGCCUUCAGGGUUCAGAGGCUUUGUGGCCCAGCGGACGAGCCAGUUCUAUGAUGGUGCCGCUGACUGAAGUGCCACGGGAGAAAACAGAACAUCAGGAGCAGCCGAUCAGUUAUCAGGGACUCUGUACCCGGUGAAUCACAUGCUCUCUCUCUUUCUCUCAUUGAUGGGGAAGAGUUUGUUGCUGAUUUUCAAGGUCAGAGAACUCGGAGAACAGCAAUGCAGCAGACUUUAACACCCGAAACAAUGUACCAUGGAGAGCUUUCUAACUGGUUGCACCACUGUCUGGUAUGGAGGGACCACUGGAAGUAAUCUGAAAAAUCUGCAGAGAGUUGUAAACUUGCCAAAGGCUCUUGCCUCCCCAGCAUCAAAGGCAUCUUCAAAAGGCAAUGACCUUAAAAAUGGCAUCUAUCAAUAGGACCCCACCAUUCAGGAUGUGCCUUCUUCUCAGUGCUACCACCGGGGAGCCCGAAAAUCGACGCUCAAUGUUUUAGGAACAGCUUCUCAUCUUCCACCAUCAGAUUUCUGACCAGUGAACCAAUGAACAUUACCUCACUAUUUUUGCUCGCAUUUUGCACUACUCAUUUGGCUCUAAUACCUAUAUUUCGUAUGGUUAUUUAUAGUAUUGUGGCGAGCAUUCAUUCCAUGAUUACAGAAGAGAAAAGCUCAUUUAUCUCAACUGACAUCUUUAUUGCGAUAGGCACAAAAACAGACCGGGCACUAUGACCCAGGGAGAGAACCCACACACACUUACUGAAGGGGUGGUGAUUAUUACACACCCUGGUUACAGUCAGGGUGAACCUCAAACACACAAGUGAACAACUGCAUAACCCCAGCUAAAAUGUAAUGAUAAAUUAGCAUUCUACCAUAAUCCCACAAAUGCAUUUUAAAAUAAGAAUAAUAAAUAGCGCUGGCCACUAAGAAUUCUGGGACA